rnacentral:rRNA from 1 species
GACGAACGCUGGCGGCGUGCUUAACACAUGCAAGUCGAACGAAGUGGCGAACGGGUGAGUAACGCGUAAUCAACCUGCCCUUCAGAGGGGGACAACAGUUGGACACGCCUGCUAAUACCGCAUAAUGAAGGAGGGGAUUGCGUCUGAUUAGCUAGUUGGAGGGGUAACGGCAGACCAAGGCGAUGAUCGGUAGCCGGUCUGAGAGGAUGACAGGCAACAGUGGGACUGAGACACGGCCCAGACUCCUACGGGAGGCAGCAGUGGGGAAUCUUCCGCAAUGGACGAAAGUCGGACGGAGCAACGCCGCGUGAGUGAUGACGGCCUUCGGGUUGUAAAGCUCUGUUAAUCGGGACGCGGUACCGGAAUAGAAAGCCACGGCUAACUACGUGCCAGCAGCCGCGGUAAUAC